rnacentral:rRNA from 1 species
UGGGGAAUAUUGGACAAUGGGCGAAAGCCUGAUCCAGCCAUGCCGCGUGAGUGAUGAAGGCCCUAGGGUUGUAAAGCUCUUUCACCGGUGAAGAUAAUGACGGUAGCCGGAGAAGAAGCCCCGGCUAACUUCGUGCCAGCAGCCGCGGUAAUACGAAGGGGGCUAGCGUUGUUCGGAAUUACUGGGCGUAAAGCGCACGUAGGCGGAUUGUUAAGUCGGGGGUGAAAUCCCGGGGCUCAACCCCGGAACUGCCUUCGAUACUGGCAAUCUAGAGUCCGGAAGAGGUGAGUGGAAUUCCGAGUGUAGAGGUGAAAUUCGUAGAUAUUCGGAGGAACACCAGUGGCGAAGGCGGCUCACUGGCUCGAUACUGACGCUGAGGUGCGAAAGCGUGGGGAGCAAACA